GAUUAACCAAAAUAAUGUAUGGAUAUCAAAGAGGAUUGUUGUGUGUGAUCCAAAAGAGAAAGUGUAUUGUUGAUGAAGAUUGUUAAAGCAAUCUUGAUAAUUGUUUGAUUCGAAUUGCACUAAAGUCCAUGAACGAAGGUGUAUUCUUCGAGUAACUAGGGCCUACGCCCCAUACUCAAAGGUAUUCUAGACAAGGAUAUGAAUGAU
rnacentral:lncRNA from 1 species